rnacentral:rRNA from 1 species
UUCGGGGCUUUCUGCAAGGUGCUGCAUGGUUGUCGUCAGCUCGUGCCGUGAGGUGUCGGGUUAAGUCCCAUAACGAGCGCAACCCUUAUCGUUAGUUGCCAUCUGGUAAUGCAGGGGACUCUAGCGAAACUGCCACCGUAAGGUGAGAGGAAGUGGGGAUGACGUCAAAUCAGCACGGCCCUUAUGUCCAGGGCUACACACGUGUUACAAUGGUCGGUACAGAGGGCAGCUACCUGGUGACAGGAUGCUAAUCUCGAAAACCGGUCUCAGUUCGGAUCGAAGUCUGCAACUCGACUUCGUGAAGCUGGAUUCGCUAGUAAUCGCGCAUCAGCUAUGGCGCGGUGAAUACCGUUCCCGGGCCUU